UGGGAGCGUCGCGACUGGCGUAGGGUGGGCAACCACCAGGAAGCGGCGCGGAGCCCUGACCGCCCUCCGGGAAGGUCCGGAACUCCCAGUGCAGACCACGGAUCGCACGCCUGGGCCGCGGGU
rnacentral:ncRNA from 14 species